GCCCCUCAUCUCAUCUCUGCUCUCCCUUUGCACGACGCCUCCCAUCUCUUCUUUCUACUUUGCUCUACCCUCUUCGUACCAAAAACACUGAUCUGCUACCAAAAACCACCAGAUGGAUAAAAACACAACUUCCAACCCCGAGGCAAAAAAGGCUAGAGCAUAAUAGUGAAGCAGAUAG